GCCGAACCGUGCGAACGUUGUUCGGAAUCACUGGGCUUAAAGGGUGCGUAGGCGGGGUGUCCAGUCUGGGGGGAAAUCCCACGGCUCAACCGUGGAACUGCCUCAGAUACUGACGACCUCGAGGGAGGUAGGGGCGAGCGGAACUGUGGGUGGGGCGGUGAAAUGCGUUGAUAUCCACAGGAACUCCGGUGGCGAAGGCGGCUCGCUGGACCUCUUCUGACGCUGAGGCACUAAAGCUAGGGGAGCAAACGGG
rnacentral:rRNA from 1 species